rnacentral:rRNA from 1 species
AGAGUUUGAUCAUGGCUCAGAACGAACGCUGGCGGCGUGGAUCAGACAUGCAAGUCGAACGAGGUUAGUCUGGUAGCAAUGCUGGGCUGACCUAGUGGCGAACGGGUGCGUAACACGUGACCAACCUGCCUAAAAGUGGGGGAUAGCUCGCCGAAAGGCGGAUUAAUACCGCAUGUGAUCGUAAGAUUAAAGCAGCAAUGCGCUUUUAGAGGGGGUCGCGGCCUAUCAGCUAGUUGGUGAGGUAAAGGCUUACCAAGGCAGCGACGGGUAGCUGGUCUGAGAGGACGACCAGCCACACUGGAACUGAGACACGGUCCAGACACCUACGGGUGGCAGCAGUCGAGAAUUUUUCUCAAUGGGGGAAACCCUGAAGGAGCGACGCCGCGUGGAGGAUGAAGGCUUUCGGGUUGUAAACUCCUGUCAUCUGGGAACAAAACUCGCAAGAGCUUGAUAGUACCAGAAGAGGAAGAGACGGCUAACUCUGUGCCAGCAGCCGCGGUAAUACAGAGGUCUCAAGCGUUGUUCGGAUUCAUUGGGCGUAAAGGGCGCGUAGGCGGUGGGGUAAGUCUGGUGUGAAAUCUCGGAGCUCAACUUCGAAAUUGCACUGGAUACUGCUCUGCUAGAGGGCUGGAGAGGAGAUCGGAAUUCACGGUGUAGCAGUGAAAUGCGUAGAUAUCGUGAGGAAGACCAGUGGCGAAGGCGGAUCUCUGGACAGCUCCUGACGCUGAGGCGCGAAGGCUAGGGGAGCAAACGGGAUUAGAUACCCCAGUAGUCC